UAGCUCAGUGGUAGAGCAUCAGACUUUUAAUCUGGAGGACGGAGGUCCGAUUAAAGCCUAC
rnacentral:tRNA from 1 species